CCUACGGGAGGCAGCAGGGGGGAAUUUUGGACAAUGGGCGAAAGCCUGAUCCAGCAAUGCCGCGUGCAGGAAGAAGGCCUUCGGGUUGUAAACUGCUUUUGUACGGAACGAAACGGUCCGCUCUAAUACAGUGGUCUAAUGACGGUACCGUAAGAAUAAGCACCGGCUAACUACGUGCCAGCAGCCGCGGUAAUACGUAGGGUGCGAGCGUUAAUCGGAAUUACUGGGCGUAAAGCGUGCGCAGGCGGUUAUAUAAGACAGUUGUGAAAUCCCCGGGCUCAACCUGGGAAUUGCAUCUGUGACUGUAUAGCUAGAGUACGGUAGAGGGGGAUGGAAUUCCGCGUGUAGCAGUGAAAUGCGUAGAUAUGCGGAGGAACACCGAUGGCGAAGGCAAUCCCCUGGACCUGUACUGACGCUCAUGCACGAAAGCGUGGGGAGCAAACAGGAUUAGAUACCCUGGUAGUCCACGCCCUAAACGAUGUCAACUGGUUGUUGGGUGCAUAGUACUCUAGUAACGAAGACUACGCGUGAGUAGACCGCCGNGGAGGACGGCCGCGAGUAGUUAACGUUACGUAAGAAGUUAGUAGGCGNGAGAGNGCGACGGACGACGACGAGGGAGGAGG
rnacentral:rRNA from 1 species